AACGCGCAGAACCUUACCUAGGCUUGACAUGUAUCGGACGAUUUCCAGAGAUGGAUUUUUUCCUUCGGGACUGAUACACAGGUGCUGCAUGGCCGUCG
rnacentral:rRNA from 1 species